AAAAAAAAUUAGAGCAGGGAGGGCUGGGCUUGGGCGGUGGGAGAGGGAAGGGAAAAAGCACCUAAAAGAAUGAGAGUCUGGGCUACCAGCAGGAUAGCCAUACUAGAACUACAACUACUGCGUCUACUAUUACUGCUGCUGCCAGAGUCACUGCCUGUUAUAGUCUUUCCACUGCUUCUGCUAUCAGGUUCCACAUUCAGUCACUUUCACACCAACCAACAUCAUGGGCAACUGCGGCACUAGAGAGGAAUCUGCUGUUGUCUCAAAUGCUCAAGUUCAACAGCAGCUCCACCAUAUGUUAUCAUCAUCUUCUGUGGGUGUUAGAAAUGUCCCCUCUGGGAAGAAGCACAGUCGGUCUGUAUCAGAUCUGAGUGAUCCUUCUUCUACCCCGCGAAACUUUGAGGAUUCCAGGAAGAAUGCUCUUCUUUAUACCCAUGUUAUUGACUUCACUUUAUAUGAACUCGAGACUAUAACUAAAAGCUUCCGCUCUGAUUACAUUCUGGGUGAAGGUGGAUUUGGGACUGUGUAUAAAGGCUACAUUGAUGAGAAUGUCAGGGUUGCCCUGAAGGCCCUCCUUGUUGAGAACCU
rnacentral:misc_RNA from 1 species